UACAGAGGUCUCAAGCGUUGUUCGGAUUCAUUGGGCGUAAAGGGUGCGUAGGUGGCGCUGUAAGUCGGGUGUGAAAUUUCGGAGCUUAACUCCGAAACUGCAUUCGAUACUGCGGUGCUUGAGGACUGGAGAGGAGACUGGAAUUCAUGGUGUAGCAGUGAAAUGCGUAGAGAUCAUGAGGAAGACCAGUGGCGAAGGCGGGUCUCUGGACAGUUCCUGACACUGAGGCACGAAGGCCAGGGGAGCAAACGGGG
rnacentral:rRNA from 1 species